rfam:Triticum aestivum genome assembly, contig: Triticum_aestivum_CS42_TGACv1_scaffold_440097_5DL
UUUGUACUCCCUCCAUCCCAAAUUCUUGUCUUAAAUUUGUCUAAAUACGGAUGUAUCUAGUUACAUUUUAGUGUUAGAUACAUCCGUAUCUAAACAAAUGUAAGACAAGAAUUUUAGGAUGGAGGGAAUACUAC